AUGAACGCUAGCGGCAGGCCUAACACAUGCAAGUCGAGGGGUAACAGAGAGAAGCUUGCUUCUUGCUGACGACCGGCGCACGGGUGCGUAACGCGUAUAGAACCUACCUUUUUACAGAGGGAUAGCCUUUAGAAAUGAAGAUUAAUACCUCAUAGUAUUAAAUUUUGGCAUCAAGAUUUAAUUAAAGAUUUAUCGGUAAAAGAUGGCUAUGCGUCCUAUUAGCUAGAUGGUAAGGUAACGGCUUACCAUGGCUAUGAUAGGUAGGGGUCCUGAGAGGGAGAUCCCCCACACUGGUACUGAGACACGGACCAGACUCCUACGGGAGGCAGCAGUGAGGAAUAUUGGACAAUGGGCGAGAGCCUGAUCCAGCCAUGCCGCGUGCAGGAAGACUGCCCUAUGGGUUGUAAACUGCUUUUAUACAGGAAGAAACCUAUCUACGUGUAGAUAGCUGACGGUACUGUAAGAAUAAGCACCGGCUAACUCCGUG
rnacentral:rRNA from 1 species